rnacentral:rRNA from 1 species
UGGGGAAUCUUCCGCAAUGGACGAAAGUCUGACGGAGCAACGCCGCGUGAACGAAGAAGGUCUUCGGAUUGUAAAGUUCUGUGAUUCGGGACGAAAGGGUUUGUGGUGAAUAAUCAUAGACAUUGACGGUACCGAAAAAGCAAGCCACGGCUAACUACGUGCCAGCAGCCGCGGUAAUACGUAGGUGGCAAGCGUUGUCCGGAAUUAUUGGGCGUAAAGCGCGCGCAGGCGGUUUCUUAAGUCCAUCUUAAAAGCGUGGGGCUCAACCCCAUGAGGGGAUGGAAACUGGGAAGCUGGAGUAUCGGAGAGGAAAGUGGAAUUCCUAGUGUAGCGGUGAAAUGCGUAGAGAUUAGGAAGAACACCGGUGGCGAAGGCGACUUCCUAGACGAAAACUGACGCUGAGGCGCGAAAGCGUGGGGAGCAAACAGGAUUAGAUACCCUGGUAGUCCACGCCGUAAACGAUGGAUACUAGGUGUAGGAGGUAUCGACCCCUCCUGUGCCGGAGUUAACGCAAUAAGUAUCCCGCCUGGGAAGUACGAUCGCAAGAUUA